GCGAGAGUGGCGGAAUCGGCAGACGCGCAGGACUUAGGAUCCUGUGAGGAAAACUCGUGGGGGUUCAAAUCCCCCCUCUCGCA
rnacentral:tRNA from 1 species